rnacentral:rRNA from 1 species
ACUAAGCGUACACGGUGGAUGCCCUGGCAGUCAGAGGCGAUGAAGGACGUGCUAAUCUGCGAAAAGCGUCGGUAAGGUGAUAUGAACCGUUACAGCCGGCGAUGUCCGAAUGGGGAAACCCAGUGCAAUUCGUUGCACUAUCGUUAACUGAAUACAUAGGUUAACGAGGCGAACCGGGGGAACUGAAACAUCUAAGUACCCCGAGGAAAAGAAAUCAACCGAGAUUCCCCCAGUAGCGGCGAGCGAACGGGGAGCAGCCCAGAGUCUGAAUCAGCUUGUGUGUUAGUGGAACGGUCUGGAAAGUCCGACGGUACAGGGUGAUAGUCCCGUACACCAAAAUGCACAGGCUGUGAACUCGAAGAGUAGGGCGGGACACGUGGUAUCCUGUCUGAAUAUGGGGGGACCAUCCUCCAAGGCUAAAUACUCCUGACUGACCGAUAGUGAACCAGUACCGUGAGGGAAAGGCGAAAAGAACCCCGGCGAGGGGAGUGAAAAAGAACCUGAAACCGUGUACGUACAAGCAGUGGGAGCACCUUCGGGUGUGACUGCGUACCUUUUGUAUAAUGGGUCAGCGACUUAUAUUCUGUAGCAAGGUUAACCGUAUAGGGGAGCCGCAGGGAAACCGAGUCUUAACUGGGCGUUAAGUUGCAGGGUAUAGACCCGAAACCCGGUGAUCUAGCCAUGGGCAGGUUGAAGGUUGGGUAACACUAACUGGAGGACCGAACCGACUAAUGUUGAAAAAUUAGCGGAUGACUUGUGGCUGGGGGUGAAAGGCCAAUCAAACCGGGAGAUAGCUGGUUCUCCCCGAAAGCUAUUUAGGUAGCGCCUCGUGAACUCAUCUUCGGGGGUAGAGCACUGUUUCGGCUAGGGGGUCAUCCCGACUUACCAACCCGAUGCAAACUACGAAUACCGAAGAAUGUUAUCACGGGAGACACACGGCGGGUGCUAACGUCCGUCGUGAAGAGGGAAACAACCCAGACCGCCAGCUAAGGUCCCAAAGUCAUGGUUAAGUGGGAAACGAUGUGGGAAGGCACAGACAGCCAGGAUGUUGGCUUAGAAGCAGCCAUCAUUUAAAGAAAGCGUAAUAGCUCACUGGUCGAGUCGGCCUGCGCGGAAGAUGUAACGGGGCUAAACCAUGCACCGAAGCUGCGGCAGCGACACUAUGUGUUGUUGGGUAGGGGAGCGUUCUGUAAGCCUGCGAAGGUGUGCUGUGAGGCAUGCUGGAGGUAUCAGAAGUGCGAAUGCUGACAUAAGUAACGAUAAAGCGGGUGAAAAGCCCGCUCGCCGGAAGACCAAGGGUUCCUGUCCAACGUUAAUCGGGGCAGGGUGAGUCGACCCCUAAGGCGAGGCCGAAAGGCGUAGUCGAUGGGAAACAGGUUAAUAUUCCUGUACUUGGUGUUACUGCGAAGGGGGGACGGAGAAGGCUAUGUUAGCCGGGCGACGGUUGUCCCGGUUUAAGCAUGUAGGCUGGUUAUCCAGGCAAAUCCGGAUAAUCAAGGCUGAGGUGUGAUGACGAGGCACUACGGUGCUGAAGUAACAAAUGCCCUGCUUCCAGGAAAAGCCUCUAAGCAUCAGGUAACAUCAAAUCGUACCCCAAACCGACACAGGUGGUCAGGUAGAGAAUACCAAGGCGCUUGAGAGAACUCGGGUGAAGGAACUAGGCAAAAUGGUGCCGUAACUUCGGGAGAAGGCACGCUGGUGUGUAGGUGAAGUCCCUGCGGAUGGAGCUGAGACCAGUCGAAGAUACCAGCUGGCUGCAACUGUUUAUUAAAAACACAGCACUGUGCAAACACGAAAGUGGACGUAUACGGUGUGACGCCUGCCCGGUGCCGGAAGGUUAAUUGAUGGGGUUAUCCGUAAGGAGAAGCUCUUGAUCGAAGCCCCGGUAAACGGCGGCCGUAACUAUAACGGUCCUAAGGUAGCGAAAUUCCUUGUCGGGUAAGUUCCGACCUGCACGAAUGGCGUAAUGAUGGCCAGGCUGUCUCCACCCGAGACUCAGUGAAAUUGAACUCGCUGUGAAGAUGCAGUGUACCCGCGGCAAGACGGAAAGACCCCGUGAACCUUUACUAUAGCUUGACACUGAACAUUGAGCCUUGAUGUGUAGGAUAGGUGGGAGGCUUUGAAGCGUGGACGCCAGUCUGCGUGGAGCCAACCUUGAAAUACCACCCUUUAAUGUUUGAUGUUCUAACGUUGGCCCCUGACCGGGGUUGCGGACAGUGUCUGGUGGGUAGUUUGACUGGGGCGGUCUCCUCCCAAAGCGUAACGGAGGAGCACGAAGGUUAGCUAAUCCUGGUCGGACAUCAGGAGGUUAGUGCAAUGGCAUAAGCUAGCUUGACUGCGAGCGUGACGGCGCGAGCAGGUGCGAAAGCAGGUCAUAGUGAUCCGGUGGUUCUGAAUGGAAGGGCCAUCGCUCAACGGAUAAAAGGUACUCCGGGGAUAACAGGCUGAUACCGCCCAAGAGUUCAUAUCGACGGCGGUGUUUGGCACCUCGAUGUCGGCUCAUCACAUCCUGGGGCUGAAGUAGGUCCCAAGGGUAUGGCUGUUCGCCAUUUAAAGUGGUACGCGAGCUGGGUUUAGAACGUCGUGAGACAGUUCGGUCCCUAUCUGCCGUGGGCGCUGGAGAAUUGAGGGGGGCUGCUCCUAGUACGAGAGGACCGGAGUGGACGCAUCACUGGUGUUCGGGUUGUCAUGCCAAUGGCACUGCCCGGUAGCUAAAUGCGGAAGAGAUAAGUGCUGAAAGCAUCUAAGCACGAAACUUGCCCCGAGAUGAGUUCUCCCUGAGACUAUAAGUCUCCUGAAGGAACGUUAAAGACGAUGACGUUGAUAGGCCGGGUGUGUAAGCGCAGCGAUGCGUUGAGCUAACCGGUACUAAUGAACCGUGAGGCUUAACC